AUUGAACGCUGGCGGCAGGCCUAACACAUGCAAGUCGAGCGGAUGAAGGGAGCUUGCUCCUGGAUUCAGCGGCGGACGGGUGAGUAAUGCCUAGGAAUCUGCCUGGUAGUGGGGGAUAACGUCCGGAAACGGGCGCUAAUACCGCAUACGUCCUGAGGGAGAAAGUGGGGGAUCUUCGGACCUCACGCUAUCAGAUGAGCCUAGGUCGGAUUAGCUAGUUGGUGGGGUAAAGGCCUACCAAGGCGACGAUCCGUAACUGGUCUGAGAGGAUGAUCAGUCACACUGGAACUGAGACACGGUCCAGACUCCUACGGGAGGCAGCAGUGGGGAAUAUUGGACAAUGGGCGGAAGCCUGAGCCAGCCAUGCCGCGUGUGUGAAGAAGGUCUUCGGAUUGUAAAGCACUUUAAGUUGGGAGGAAGGGCAGUAAGUUAAUACCUUGCUGUUUUGACGUUACCAACAGAAUAAGCACCGGCUAACUACGUG
rnacentral:rRNA from 1 species